rnacentral:rRNA from 1 species
CACGUAGUUAGCCGUGGCUUUCUAAUGAGGUACCGUCAAGGUACAAGCAGUUACUCUUGUACUUGUUCUUCCCUCAUAACAGAGCUUUACGAUCCGAAAACCUUCUUCGCUCACGCGGCAUUGCACCAUCAGACUUUCGUCCAUUGUGGAUGAUUCCCUACUGCUGCCUCCCGUAGGAGUCUGGGCCGUGUCUCAGUCCCAGUGUGGCCGAUCACCCUCUCAGGUCGGCUACGCAUCGUCGCCUUGGUAAGCCGUUACCUUACCAACUAGCUAAUGCGCCGCGGGCCCAUCCCGUAGCGACAGCCGAAGCCGUCUUUCAGAAUCCUUUCAUGAGAAAGAAUUAAUCAUUCGGUAUUAGCCCCGGUUUCCCGGAGUUAUCCCCAACUACAGGGCAGGUUGCCCACGUGUUACUCACCCAUUCGCCGCUAACGUCAGAGGAGCAAGCUCCUCAUCCGUUCGCUCGACUUGCAUGUAUUAGGCAUGCCGCCAGCGUUCGU